GUCCGAUUUUGAUCUGUCUCUUAGAUGUGUUGUUAAUCCCAUGUUGGUGAAAUCAUGUUCGCCUGUGAUUAAGCCUCCAAAGACGUCUAGUCCAUGCUCGGAAUCUAGCUGCAUAGAUCCCUUUUGCCUACAUCCAUCCUGGCAAGUAUCCUGCUUCACCCCUAGAUUUUUAUCUGCAACAUCAAAGACACGUAAGCUAAAGGCUGACAUCGCUGCACAAGUCA
rnacentral:misc_RNA from 1 species